rnacentral:rRNA from 1 species
AUUGAACGCUGGCGGCGUGCUUAACACAUGCAAGUCGAUCGGUAACGCGGGGGCAACCCUGGCGACGAGAGGCGGACGGGUGAGGAACGCUUGGGAAUCUGCCCUUCAGCGGGGGACAACACGGGGAAACUCGUGCUAAUACCGCAUACGCUCCACGGAGGAAAGACGGGGACCGCAAGGCCUGUCACCGAAGGAUGAGCCCAAGUCGGAUUAGCUAGUUGGCGGGGUAACGGCCCACCAAGGCGACGAUCCGUAGCUGGUCUGAGAGGACGAUCAGCCACACUGGGACUGAGACACGGCCCAGACUCCUACGGGAGGCAGCAGUGGGGAAUAUUGGACAAUGGGGGAAACCCUGAUCCAGCGACGCCGCGUGGGUGAAGAAGGCCUGCGGGUUGUAAGGCCCUUUCGGUAGGGACGAAAGCUCUCGACCUAACACGUCGGGAGGUUGACUUAACCUACAAAAGAAGCACCGGCUAACUCUGUGCCAGCCGCCGCGGUAA